UACGGGGGGGGUAAGCGUUGUUCGGAAUUAUUGGGCGUAAAGGGCGCGUAGGCGAUCUGAAAAGUUCUGUGUGAAAGCCCACAUGUUAACUGUGGAAGUGCACAGAAAACUGUUGGAUUUGAGUUCAGGAGAGGAAGGCAGAAUUCCCGGUGUAGCGGUGAAAUGCGUAGAGAUCGGGAGGAAUACCAGUGGCGAAGGCGGCCUUCUGGACUGACACUGACGCUGAGGCGCGAAAGCCAGGGGAGCAAACGGG
rnacentral:rRNA from 1 species